GAUGAAGAACGCAGCGAAAUGCGAUACGUAGUGUGAAUUGCAGAAUUCAGUGAAUCAUCGAAUCUUUGAACGCACAUUGCGCCCUUUGGUAUUCCAAAGGGCAUGCCUGUUCGAGCGUCAUUUGUACCCUCAAGCUUUGCUUGGUGUUGGGCGUCUUGUCUCCAGUCCGCUGGAGACUCGCCUUAAAGUCAUUGGCAGCCGGCCUACUGGUUUCGGAGCGCAGCACAAGUCGCACUCUUUUCCAGCCAAGGUCAGCGUCCAACGAGCCUUUUUUCAACUUUUGACCUCGGAUCAGGUAGGGAUACCCGCUGAACUUAAGCAUAUCAAUAAGCGGAGGA
rnacentral:misc_RNA from 1 species